UGAUAAUUUUAACGGCCGCGGUAUAUUGACCGUGCAAAGGUAGCAUAAUCAUUAGUCUUUUAAUAGAAGGCUGGAAUGAAGGGUUUAACGAAAAAUUAGCUGUCUCAAUUAUAUUUUUAGAAUUUAGCUUUUAAGUUAAAAGGCUUAAUUUUUGUUGGAGGACGAGAAGACCCUAUAGAGCUUUACAUUUUUAUUUAUUAGUUUUUUUAAGUUUCAUAAUUAAUAUUAGUUUUUAGAAUUGUUUUGUUGGGGUGACAAAAAUAUAUAUUUAACUUUUAUUAUUUUUUUACAUUAAUUUAUGGAUUUUGGAUCCAUCAUGGAUGAUCAUUAAAUAAGUUACCUUAGGGAUAACAGCGUAAUCU
rnacentral:rRNA from 1 species